GGAGACAUGGCCGAGUGGUCUAAGGCGCCGUCUUAAGGUUAACUGGCUGAUCCACGUCUAUCUGUCUAGAAUGACCGGCGGUCUUCGGGCGUGGGUUCGAAUCCCACUGUCUUCA
rnacentral:tRNA from 1 species